rnacentral:lncRNA from 1 species
GGGCCGCGCGCACGUGAGCGCGCCGCUCCGCCUGUCUAAUUUUAGCUCUGAGGUGUCAGGGUCGUGCGAGGUGGUUUCCUGCAUGUCUGUGAGGAGUGGAGGAGGACAUGUCUGUCAUCCAGAGUAACCGGGUCAAGGAUGUGUGGUUAGAUUGGAAAGGAAGACAUCUGCUUGCAUCAGCUCAACUUUGAAGACAGGGGGUGCACUGACCCCCACCCUCUCUCCCAUCUCACAUGAGGAUGACCAGAGAGGGUUGGUGUUCGAGAUUUGCCAUAAUGUGUGGGAUCAGGAACCAGAUAAAAGUUUAGUGUUGAAGAAAUGAAUGCCAGGCACCUUGUAAAAUUGGCACCGCAGCCCUGUCAUCAGAAAGUGAGCUGUUCUUUUGACACACAGAGUUGUUUGCCAUGUCACAGUGACCUGCAUUCUGUUAGUGAGGGAGCCUCAGGUUUCACAUGGGUUGUCUCUGUAUAAGCUGUAAAAUGAUAGCCUCUGGCCUUUAUGGUAUUGGGAAACUUGAAGUGUUUAAUGAUAAAAGUGGUUUCUAAUGGUUCACAGCACCGCAACCUACUCCAGCUCACUUCCUCCCAGGCAUCCGGUCAAGUCACAACCUGUAGCCUGUUCUUAAGGCGUAGACAUGAACAAGUGGCUCCCAGUCCAUCUCUGCAUUCAUAAAUUGAAGAGGAUGACAUGUUCCCAAGAGAGCCCCCUGGGAU